UUUCUUGCAUGCGAUUCGUCAAAAAUUACAUAUACGAAUUCAUCACUUAGAUUUACCAAAGUUAAGGGUUUAGAAUUUCUAGGCAAGUCAUCAGAGAUUACAGAAGGAAUCCUAGGCCUCCUUUCCAGGAUGAGAUCACCCUAAUCAAAAUCGCGAGUUUAAUGACAUGAGAAAACGAAGAUGAAAAAUCAAUAAAUGCAAUCAAGAAUCAAAAUUAGGUAUACCUCUACAUCAGUAAGAAUAUUUGCAAGAUCACUAUUAGUUGAGUCAUCAGAAUUCGCAAAUAUCUUCACUCUCAAAAUCGCGAGUUUAAUGACAUGAGAAAACGAAGAUGAAAAAUCAACAAAUGCAAUCAAGAGUCAGAAUUCCAAGGUUGUUUGUGAUAUUUUGGGGUUUGUGUUCAAUGGGGUAUUGUCCAUGCUUAUUGGCAUGGCUGAGUGCGAAGAGGCAGCCUCUGGUAUUCGAUUUGAAGGUCUAACACAGGGAUUCAGCCCUAUUCAUAAUUUUGGUUUUUCAACAAAAGGGUUUGUAUCUGAAAUGAUUCCUAAAAUUGAGUCUGGAAAUCCAAAGAAGUCUGUCUCUACGGUUCCCCUCACAAUGAGUCUCAGAGAGAGGAGCAAAAUUCAAAUAAGUCUUGAGGAGAAUGGGUUUAAAUUUCCCAGUAUAGUGCAUCUACCUCUUGCAUCUGCUGUGGGCAUUAGUUUCUUGAACCAAAUAUUAUUUCCCAACAUAUCCGAAAGAAAAAUUGCCCUAUUUGUCAAUUAUUGGAACUUGUGUGGAAGUUUCAGUGGUUUUGUAUUAGUACCAUUUAGUUAAACUCUUAGGACAGUUCUAUGAUAGAGAUCUUAUUGCAUCUGAGAGUGGGAAUAUUUUCUUACUUGGCUUUUUUGAUGUGGUUGAUAAGCUCUUCGCAAAGUGUGGAACGGAGAAAAUUGACUUUGUUUUUGUAGAAGUAAAGCUUGAAAACCCUGAAUUUAGGCUGUUUUUAGAAGGAAAUUUUGGAAAGGAAAAAAUUUCGGUUUUAAGGUUAUCAGUGCUAGCUGUCAGAGCUGUGAUUAUAUGCUGCAAUUUGUUAAAGGCUGUAGAUGACUAUAAGCCAUGGGGUGAUACCGAGUGUACAAAAAGCGGUUCAGUUUGGGCUGAGGGAGGCCCCACUUCUAUCUUUGAUCGUACUGAGGUUGAUGAUGCUUUUUCGGAUGAUGCGUGAGCUUUGAUGAUGUUGCUAGGAUGUGUGAGUUUUACUGUAUAAACUUUGAUAAUUGAUAACUGGAAGCAUCAAUAGUCAUAGGUUUCGUACUGUUUCUCUCAUUGUUUUGGCCUUCGGAUCAUGUUAGGUUCCUCACCGUGUUUUCAUAUUUCCUUCAAGUAUUUUCCUUUAGUUGCAUGGCCCCUGUAUUUUGGUGCUAAAUGAGUUCUUGCUGUCUCGAUGGCACUCUUCAAGAGUUGUUCAAUUAGUGUCCAAACUGAUGAUAAAAGAUGACUUCACAU